GACGAACGCUGGCGGCGUGCUUAACACAUGCAAGUCGAACGGAAAGGCCCUGCUUUUGUGGGGUGCUCGAGUGGCGAACGGGUGAGUAACACGUGAGUAACCUGCCCUUGACUUUGGGAUAACUUCAGGAAACUGGGGCUAAUACCGGAUAGGAGCUCCAGCUGCAUGGUGGGGGUUGGAAAGCUUCGGCGGUUGGGUCCGGACUCGCGCAUUAUCAGCUUGUUGGUGGGGUAGUGGCUUACCAAGGCUUUGACGGGUAGCCGGCCUGAGAGGGUGACCGGCCACAUUGGGACUGAGAUACGGCCCAGACUCCUACGGGAGGCAGCAGUAGUGAAUAUUGCACAGUGGGCGGAAGCCUGAUGCAGCACAGCGGCGUGCGGGAUGACGGCCUUCGGGUUGUAAACCGCUUUCGCCUGUGACGAAGCGUGAGUGACGGUAAUGGGUAAAGAAGCACCGGCUAACUACGUG
rnacentral:rRNA from 1 species